UAUGGUUCAGAGACAGGCGGGGAGCAGCUUGAGUCUUGCCUUAGCGUCGUGGCGUUAGCAGGACUGGUUUACAUUGCGGGGGGGAAGUUGUGUUAAUAGGGGCUGAGAGGUGCGGCGCGUCCCGGCUUAGCGUGAUGCGUGGCAGGAUGUCGUGGAUGCGUGGCGGCUUACCAAAGAUAUGCUAAAGCUGCCAGCCGUGAUGCCGAGCAGAUCUCCAACAAGCAGUUCUUCAUGUUCACUCUGUUUUUUCAUCCAGUAAUGAUCAUCAUCCUACAUUCACCCUGUUGGAGAGGCAAGAGGAAGGAACGGAACAGAGGUGUGACACUCCCCGCCAGCCACGCUCCUUACGCUCCUUCCUGAGUACAGAUGUCAUUGUUAAGUCGCCAGAGCCCCGCAAUCCCCCGCUCGCUGCUGAAGGACGGCCUCUCGCAGCCCCGAGCCCCGUCACCCGCUGGAAGAUCAAAAGUCAGACACGAGUGAGCGGCGCUGAGCCUCCGCCACUCACAGCCAAAUUUAAAGAAGGAUAAAGCACCAGUGGAGAGCUGCCGUCGCUCAACAACCGCUCCACCUCCACCUCCACCUCCGCUUCCACCACCACCACCAACCCUCCGCCAUCACCACCCAGCUCAUCAAUCCCUCCUACUUCACCACCACGGCCAGCCUUUCGCCUCCUCCAUCACCACCACAACUGCCACCACUAAUACCAGCCUUCCACCAUCGCCACCGCCACCACUACCACCACCGCCUAGCUCAUCCAGCUCCCAGCAGCACAACACGAAACAAAGGCAUCUACUUCAUGUAUUUUGAUGAGUUAAGUAAAUAUUUACGUCAAAUCU